GCAGGGGUACCCAAGUGGUCAAAGGGGCAGGACUUAAGAUCCUGUGUGCUUAGUGCCUUCGGGGGUUCGAAUCCUCCCUCCUGCA
rnacentral:tRNA from 1 species